GGCAUAUUUGGUCUCAUCCCCAUUUCCUGCACAGAGGGCCUAAAACUCUUGGAAUUCCUAAGUUAAGAGAACAAUAAAGGUGUCUUGUUAUAUAUUAUGAGGUAAUUUUUGGAAUGCAUCUAAGGAAGGGGGUUGGUUGCCAGGAGAACCUAUCUCGUGAUUACAGGGUUAGAAUAUCAGUCUUACCUCCCUUGACUUCCAGGGAGGGGAGAAGGGCUGGAAGUUGAAUUGAACCAAUGGCCAAUGAUUUCAUCAAUCGUGUGUAUAGAAAGAAGCCUCCAUAAAACCCCAAAAGGAUGAGUUUCAAAGAGCUUCCAGCUGCUUUGUCUAUAUUCCUUAUUCAUCCUAGGCUGCCACCUCGGGUGGACCAGAAAGCCAAGCCUUACCCUUGGCCAUCCAUGGGGUGAAGGACCAGAGAGAGGGAUAGUUUGUACAGAAAGUCUGUGGUCUGAACUGACUGUGGAGUUUGGUGUCGGCUGUUUAGAAUUCAGUAAUGAAUGCUGGAAAAGAGUUUGGCUCCCCAUGCACCUGGCUGGGUCCUACCCGUGCUGGAUUCUCUGAGGCGGAAGACUCAUCACUCAUUCAUCACUCAUUGUUGGAUUUAUUAAAAGUAAAUAGGAUCCCUGACAGACGCUGAGCUCACACACAGACCUGGAACCAGCGAUGUGAGAAUAUAUAUUGCUCUCACGAACCCCUAAUAGAAUCUGAUCUCACCCAAAGGCAAAACACCAUGGAAUACCAGAUCCUGCCAGGAAGGAGGACAUUCCUGAAAUUCCCAGGAUGGCAAAUGUUCCAUCUCCUGUUCUCUAGAUUCUUCCCCUGGCCCAGCAGGGCAAAGAUGACCUUCUCAGACAUAAUGUUUCAAAUCCAAACCAUGAGACUGUGAGGUUUUCAAAAAAGGAUGUUUGUGUCUUAUUCAUCUUUGAAUACAAUGCCCAGAGUCAGAGUGGCAAACUGCAUUUAAUUCAUGACUUUAACCUCUUUCUAGCUGUGUGGCAUUGAGUGAGCCAGGCGCUUUGGGCUGCUAUGUCUUUACCUAAAAGAAAAUAAAAAGGGCACAAGAAACAUAUGCUUUGCAGAGUUGUUUGGGGAUUAAGUUAAGAUACUGUAAAGCUUUUACUCAUUACACUCAAAGCUUUUUAGCUCAUUGAGGGCACAUAGUAAACUCCAGAGAAGGACAGUUAGGAGUUCAUCAUCUUGGAAUCUUUUGAGCUUAGACAUUGGGCAUUUGGUAAAUGGAGUUCAGUGAAUGGGUUCAUUCUUUGCUUCAGCUAUUUUUAUGCCUGCUAUGUGCCAGCCACGGUUCUGCAGAGUACAGGCAGACACAUCCCCUGACCUCAUGGAGUUUACAGUUUGGUGAGGACAUAGGCAAUAAGUAAAUGAGGAAUGAAUGACUAAACUAUCUGAAAUGUGAUUUAGGAUAGUGAUAAGUGCUGUGAAAGAAAUUAAACAAGAUAAAGGAACAGGAAGUAACUGUGUCUGUGAGAGAAGAGAGCAGGGUGGGGGAGGCAGAGAGCGAGGGGCUGUCGGGGAGACAAGUGAAUAAAUAACUGGACAGAAAUUCUUCAAGUACCCAUCAUGCACCUCCCCCAGCUUGUUUCAAUUCCCCUGACCAUGUGCUAACUCAAUAACUUCUCUUUUCACCUAAGGAUUUUCGUGCUACAGAGUUUGUCACUAUGUAGUGAGGUGACGUAACUCCCAUUAUCCAAACCUCCGUAUGCCUUGCAUCCUUUUUCCUAAAGUGUCCCCCACCCAAACCCAGGACUUCACCUCAAAAACGAACGCUACAAUCUGGGAAUUUUUCAACAAUAUAAUUUGCUCGAGGGAGUCAGGAAAAUGCCUCUCCUUUUACAUCUGACUUCUGUACCUCCAGCUUGCCUCUGGAAGGGGACAGCUACGGAUUCAAGAUGUCUUGGGCCUGGAAGGAGUCUUUGCUUUCUCUCUGGCUCUGCAAAGUAUAACAAAACUAGACUGCCAUAUUGAAUUAUUUUCAGCAGUAGAAAUUCUUCGGUGCCCCAUCUCAGACCAGGCUCUAAUUUGAAAGUAAUAACAUUUGGGCAAAGCUCAGAUGCACUAAGUUGCUGCCGAGGGCUUGGUGGGUUUUGAGGUAAUUGGUUUUACUCAGUUGCUGAUGCUUCACUUGGACAAAUGAGAAAUCAAACUACAGCUCAGUUUGCAGAAAAGCCCACGUCAGCAGUUUAUUCUGACUACUAUUUCAGAGCUUGUUAUGUUAUUGGCAAUAAAAUGCAACUAAUAUACUGUUAAUUAAUAUUGCAUCCUACAGCUAAUUUAUCACAUUAUUAAUCAGAGUGAUAAAACCAGGGAAAAUGCGGCUCACCUUUACUGUCUUUUCAUCUGUCUCAAACACUGGUAUUUAUGCACAAAUACAUGUUUUGGUCAACACUGCCAAGUGUUUGGUUGUUCCUGGAUGAGUGUAUUCUAUUUUCAAACAGUAACUUGCCCCUCAGGAAUAUUUUAUUUAGCAAGACAGGACUUCAAGUGAAAGGGUAACCAUUUCUGAUCGUAACCUUGGCUUUGUGCUUCUGGUAAUUAUCCUUUAAUUGCAUUACCCUAUUUGAAAUAGAGUUGUAAUUGGAAAAAAACAAUUUGACAUUCCCUGAUGCUUACUCUGACAUGCACUAUUUGCUUUUUAUUCAAAUGUAAAUUCUCUCCAUAAUACUAUCAAAGAAAGAAAAAAAAAUUAAGCAAAAUUGAAAUGUCAGUUGCAAUUUCUGACGUGCAGGCAGUGUCAUUCACUCGUGCUGUCUGGAAGGCAAGACUUUCGGUUCAGAUGGAAAAAAAAAUCAAGCUAUGAAAUUAGCAUGCUCUGAGGAGAGGGAGAGAUGGAUGGCGGAAUCACAGAUCCAUCCAUACGUGUCCACUUUGCACAAUGGCUCCAAAAUAUCAGACAAGCUGCCAGCUAUAAUUUUUGGAUGAAUAAGCCUUUCUGCUUUACUAUAAAAAAAAUGUUUUUGCUUAAAAAACCGAAGGAUAAUACACUUAACUCUAGAGUUAUUUCACCUUAAGCUUCUUGAGGGUGUAAUUUUAAUUUGGAGCAUGUGAUAUGUGAUAGGCUCCAGCGAUUUCAGCCUCCUGAGUCUCACCCUUUUGUAAUCUCUUCCCUUUGAGAGUGAGCUGGACCUUUUGACUUGCUUCUAAUGAAUAGAACAUGGCAAAAGUAAUGGGAUGUCACUUCCAAGAUUAGGUUACACAAAGUGCUGUGGCUUCUGCCUUGGGCUUCUCUGGUUUGCCCUCCCAUGUGCUCACUCUGAGGGAAGCCAACUGCCAUGUUGUGACCUGCCCUAUGGAGAGGCCAUGUAGUAACUGAGAGAGGUCUCUGGCUGACAGCCAGAAGGGAAUGGAGGCCCUCAUCCAAGAGUUCAUGAGGAACCCAGUCCUGCCAACAGGAUGGAAGUGAAUCAUUGCUCAGUUGAACUUUCAGAUGAGCCUGCAGCCCCGGCCGACACCUGACUGCAACCUCCGGAGAGACUGUUAAGUCACAGGAACCCAGUUGAGUGGCACCUGGAUUCUUGACUGAUAGGAACUGUGAGGUAGUAUGUGUUCAUUAUUUUAAGCUGCUAAGUUUCAAGGUAAUUUGUUAUAUGGCAAUAGAUAACUAAUAUAUAGGGCAGGAGAAAAUGGUUAGUAAACAAGUAAUUGUAGAUGUUUGGUUUGCCAUGGGAUUUGAUAGGGAAAAAAAUGAACGGUGGUGGAGGAAAACAACAGCUAUGCUACUACCUCAGUAGGUUUCCUCAAAUAAGUCACAUAAACUUACUGUGCCUCAAUUUUCUUAUCUUUAUCAUAGGAAUAAUUUACUCACAAAAUUUUUGAGUUGAAAAUGAAAUACCAAAUGCAAAAGCACUUAGAAAAUUUCUAAGUACCGUACAUACAUAAAAUGAUUGGUAUUAAAAAUUUCUAGUACUUUUUCGGCACUUGGGUGGCUCAGUCAGUUAAGUGUCUGACUCUUGGAUUUGGCUCAGGUCAUGAUCUCAUGGUUUGUGAGUUCAAGCCUUGCGUCAGGCUCUGCCCUGGCAGCACAAAGCCUGUUUGGGAUUCUCUCUUUCUCUCUGCUCCCAACUCCUGCUCUUUCUCUCAAAAAUAAAUAAAUACACACACACACACACACACACACACACACACACACACACACACACACAAAUUUCUUGUACUUUGGACAAUAUCCCUCCAAUGUAGGACCACGGUAUGGUAGAAUGAGCACUAUGUCUCAGUAGACCUGGAUUCGAAUCUAGGCUUUUCCACUGCAUGGCUGCAUGACCUUAAAAAAGGACUUAGGCUCUAUCACUUUCAAUUUCCUGACACUGAGAAAAAGGGAAAUAGGACAAGUAAGUUUUGAUCAAUAACAGCAGCCUAACAACAUGGGUAUAGUAAUUGGUCAAAAGUAAUUGGUCACUCUGGUCAAAAGUCACAGAAAUCCAACCUGAAAUAGAUUAUCUCUAGGAUCUACUCUAGAUUUUAAAAUAUUGAUUUUUAGUAUUUGUUUGGGUUUACUAGGUUCCCAAAGGAAUGUGAUUGUAAUUUUCCUUCACCUAGGACAUAUGUGUGUCAGAACGAGUGAAAAAAAUACAUUUCUUGAGAGCAUGGUUAGCUAAGUGAAUCAAUUAUACAUGCAAAUCCUGAGCAAAGGUAUUAGAGCAAUGAUGUCGAAAUGCCAGGUAUGACAGAGUUGACUACCGGCGACUGUUUCUGAUCAUCUGAUUCUUCCACUCAACAUACCUCCAAACACUUCCUUAGGUGUGGAAGUGGUGUUCUUAUUCACAUACCCCUGAAGUCUGAAUUUCGCAGCUAUGACCUUCAUGAUAUCACAGGGCCAGGACAAGCCCUUGCAUAACCAUGAAUAUAGGUGUCUCCUACUGCCUCACCUGCUCACUUGCUACAUCCUAGUCUUGGCCCAAGUAUUAUUUCCUUUGGUCCCCCCAAACACAAGCAAUAGCACUACCCUUUUUCUUAUAAGCAGAGUAGAAAGUUGCUUAACCAGAGAGUUCUGAAGAUCCUAUGAAGGUUCCCUUGACCACACCAUCUUUCUCAAUGGCUUUCAUCAAUAUCCUUAAGUCUAAGCUUUAGGUCACUUCCUCAAGUUAGAAGGUAUUUGGGAAAGUAGACUAAAUUUGGAAGCAAAAGAUAUGGGUUGAAAUUCAGGUUCUGGCAGAAUAUAACUGGGGGAAUUUAGGCAAAAAUUGUGAGUCAGAAGUUACUUAAUUAAUCUGGGCCUGACUUUUCUCCUCUACAAAAUGAGGAAGAGAAUAUCUGCCCUGUCUUUCUGCAUGUUUUAUGGAUUAGGUGAAAUAAUGAUUGAAGAAUUAUUUUGGAAUUUAAAAAGUCCUGUGUGAGUGCUGUGAUCCUUAAGGGCUAACACAUUGUUCUUUAUGUUAGCAGUGAUGAGGUCGUCUGUGCAAUCCUUAAGACACUGAAAAGAAGGUGACAAGGCUGAGUAUUUGCUGCCUGUGGGUUCUGAGAACCUUUCCAGCGCUUAGUGGAUGGCACUCCUCGCCCCCGCCCUGUGCAGACCCAUUUGAAGAGCACUCCAUCACAGCCAACAAUUAUCUAAAUUGAAGUUGUCCAUCCUGCCUUUUAAGUUCUUCUCCAGAUAAUGAACCUUUUCAACCAACACAGGGUGCUUGAUGUUAAUCACACAGAGAAAUGCAAACUCAAUCUAUUCACCUUCGAAGGAGAUAGAGCCUAAAAGGUCUCAGUGGUUGGGGGUUGAGUUGGAUGGCCCAGCCAAGAGAUGCUCACUUCUGCUGGGGUUUGGAUACCUGUGCUCUCCCUUGGGCCUCUCUGUGAUGCACCAGGAUCCUAAGCCUGUGAGCCGACCCAUCUCUCCCUGGUACACAGACACAAGCCCAGGACCACUCCAUCUCUGAUGGCCCAGCACCUGCUCUUCCCUCCCAUUCCCAGAGAACCACACUUUUCUUCUUUCAUCUUUUUAUCACUAGGAAUCCAUUUCCCAGAAAGGCUUAGCAUCCAUCUCCUUGUCCCCCAGUUUUUGAGAUGGGCUGAAACGAGAGGCAAAGUAAAUAUCUUACGAAAUUACCAAUAUAAACUAUUUUUAACUGAGAGGAAGGAAAGAAGGAAGGCAGGAAAACUUGAAGACACCAGGGUUGAAUUUUGUAAUGACUCCUCUGUUCUGCUCUUUAAUAAUAAUUAUUACAGUUGACUGAAUGCUUCCUCUGUACCAAGCAAUGAGCUGAGCAAAGUUUUACAUAUAUCAUCUCAUUUAAUGAUCACAACUGAAUGGAGUCCCUCUCCACUACCCCACCCCAUUAAGUUAUUCCCAUUUUAAGGAUGCAAAAACUGAGGGGCAGAGUUGUCAAGAGACUUGCCCAACGUUCUUAAAUAUUUGACCACAAGAGCCAUGCCUCAUCUGCUAUAUGAGAAGGAGGGGAUACAAACCAUUAGCAUCAACAACUUUCAUCACCUUUUGGUAAUGCUGUAUUUUUGUGAUUAUUACAGUAAUAGUGUUCAGUACAGGACAUUUUUAAAUUGUACAACAUGUGAUAGAAAAAAUAUAAAAGGACAUCAGACCAAAGAUAAAUUCCCUUAACAUUUUGGGGUCUCUUUCUGUUUUUCUGCUUUAUUUUGUUUUUAAACAAAUUUGGAGUUGUCCUCGUUCCCUCGUUUCAUACUCCGUCAUAAAAAAAAAUAAUUAACAUCAUGAGUAUUGCCUCAUGUCAUUGAAAUUUUUCCAAAAAAACUUAUUUGUUUGCAUUAUGUUGAUACAUAAAUAUUAUAUACCAUUAGUUAUUCAACAGUUUUCCUCUUGUUGGAAAAUUAGUUGGCAAAUUUUGCUAUUAUAAGAGUGAUGAGCAUCAUUGUACAAAAUCUCUAUUUUUAAGCCCUAGUGGCAACAAUGUUUGUCAUUUAGAGGCAAUUUCCCCCCUACAAGAAGUCUCAUCAUUUACACCCUCUGGUUGUUUAGUCAUGAUGACCUUCGUGCCUGGAUGGAGCUGAUACAUUGCACCUGCUGGGAACAGGCACAGCUGGGCCUGGGCUGUGAGUACCCAGACCAAAGGCCAACAACAGGCAAAGUGACAGCACCUGCAGCUACUCACCGCUUGCUGUUCUGGGCUCAGCUGGGUGAGGAUCUCCCAGAAGAAGGAGGGAUGAGCAGAGUGGAGAGAGCAACCAAUGAGAGCCCGUAUGUGACUGUGGACCUGCACAUACCUCUCAGAGCUCACCACUGCCUGCCGCAGAGCCAGCUCACCUUGAUGCCCACCUUUGGCACCUACAGCUGUUUCCUCCUGGGGCCCAGACUUGAGACACUGCACUUCCUGCAGCCCCCAAGCCUUUGCCUUCUCUGCAUCAGAUUCUUACCUACCAAAGAUAAAACAGAGGACAGCAA